rnacentral:piRNA from 1 species
UGGAAUGGCUUGGAGAACUGGGCAGCAAC